AAGGUACUAGUAAAGACAUUACACCGCCUUGUCAAGGCGGAAUCGCGAGUUAAACUCUCGCGUAUCUUG
rnacentral:tRNA from 1 species